CACAUACAUACCGAGUUUGUAGUAAGGAGUCAGAGCGCGCGCCGAUCAGUCUUGCUCAUGAUAUACUGUUGUGUGUAACAGUUUGUAUUGAAACAUAUAGAUAUAUUCUGCACCAUAUAUACACUCGUUCACAACAUAUAUAUAUAUAACAUAUAUAUACAUCUAUAUAUACUGCUUUGUACAUCCACUCGAUAUAUGUGACUAUCGAAGCUUACGUUUAUAUGUGCAGAUAAAAACUACGCGAUAUAAAUCAUCAUUGGAGGAAAAAGGCCAAUCGCAGGACUUUUCUUGUCGUAAUCAGCCGCUCGUCUGACAGAAGUGGUAGCCAAAUAAACGCUAAAAACACUUUGAAUUUCUAUACACCGUUCAUCGGCACCAGAUAAAAGCCGGAGAACCCCGAUCAUCAUGGAGG